rnacentral:rRNA from 1 species
UGGUAGUGUAUUGGACAACCAUGGUUUCAACGGGUAACGGGGAAUAAGGGUUCGAUUCCGGAGAGGGAGCCUGAGAAACGGCUACCACAUCCAAGGAAGGCAGCAGGCGCGCAAAUUACCCAAUCCCGACACGGGGAGGUAGUGACAAUAAAUAACAAUAUAGGGCUCUUUUGGGUCUUAUAAUUGGAAUGAGUACAAUUUAAAUCCCUUAACGAGGAACAAUUGGAGGGCAAGUCUGGUGCCAGCAGCCGCGGUAAUUCCAGCUCCAAUAGCGUAUAUUAAAGUUGUUGCAGUUAAAAAGCUCGUAGUUGAACUUCAGACCUGGCCGGGCGGUCUGCCUCACGGUAUGUACUGUUUGGCCGGGUCUUACCUUUUGGUGAGCCGGCAUGCCCUUCACUGGGUGUGUCGGGGAACCAGGACCUUUACCUUGAGAAAAUUAGAGUGUUCAAAGCAGGCCUAUGCCCGAAUACAUUAGCAUGGAAUAAUAAAAUAGGACGUGCGGUUCUAUUUUGUUGGUUUCUAGAGUCGCCGUAAUGAUUAAUAGGGAUAGUUGGGGGCAUUAGUAUUCAGUUGUCAGAGAGA